UUUUUACUUACAUAACCCAUGUACAAACCUCAGGAAUUGUGGAAGGUAUAAAAGUGGUUACUUCACGUAGAGAACUCUUACAAUAGAAAACAAAAUAAAAACAGUUUGCAAAGUUCAAAAAAUCAGGCAGAUCAUAUGACUGUGGUCAAAGUAUUACUAACAACCUCGCUUUCAUUGUGUGCUGCUUUCUCUGUGUGAAUCUUGGAGCAAUUAUUGAAGAAUAUUGCAGAAUAUGAAAAAUGUGGUGUUUGGCAUUGCCUAUUUAGUUCAGACAUUUCUACAAAAACUUUCAACUUUGAAUUUAAAUGCCACAUAUAAUAUUUUGCCGUGAUGUAAUUCUUCAAAGCAUCAUUUGUCUUCCUGUCAUUGGAAAUGGUGCAAAUCAGAACAAUGCAUUUUUGCUCAUCAAUUAACUCUCCAUAUCCACCUGCCAUGCAGUUAACUCUUGCACUUAACUACAGUUUAUUGGCAGAGAUUUUGAGACAGAGAGAUGAUGUGAUUUGCCUAAAACUUUUUUAAUAGCAACAGAUAGAUUUACAAUUAGAUGAUGAGAUUUUUCUACUUAAUGCUGAUGUUAGUGUUCAUUCCUGAAAACCAUUUUCCCUUCUCUCUCUGUGCUAAGGGUGCUGCUCCUUAUGACAACAUAAAAAAACUUUCCAUUCCUAGCACUAACAGCAUCAGCAGGGCUACACACUUAGAAACAAAUAGGGAGAAACAGAAGUAAUGUGAUACUCCUUUCUAGAUCUGCUUGAACAGGCGGUUCUGGAAAAAACAGCAAACAAACAACAAAAGCAAAACCUAAAAUUAUGACUGAAACCGUAGACACAAAUACUUCAUGGUGUCAAAGGUCUUACAGUUAAAUUUGGAUUUGGAUUCGAACCUCCUUUUCCCUCCAAAAACAAACAAACUGGGAGUGUGAGUUGCAAGACAUCCUAGAAUACUUUAGGAAAAUAAGUUAAUGAGUAUAAAAUAUCUUUAAGCAAAGGCAUUUUUCUUUGUAAAUUAGUAGCGUUUAAGGCCAAGCAGGCCAAUUAUUAUAAUGUAGACUAACUUCCUAUAGAAAACAAGCUAUAUACCCUCAAACAGGGUCUACGGAAUAUCUUUUAUAAAAAGAAAAGUCUUGAUUUACAGACUGUCUUCUUCAUGGCAUUUUAUACUGACAAAGAAACAUUACAUAUAGUAGUACACCAUAAAGAGGAGCAUGGUAAUGAGAAUGGGUCUUCUGUCAAGUGAAACUCAAGAGUGACAAGCUACAAAAUACAAGUUUUAUAAUGAAAAAUUGUGGGCAGAUCCUAGAUCAUGUUCCUAAACUUUGUUCGCAUUUUCCUUUGAAGAAGUCCAACCCAUUCUCUUGGAUGGACACUGUUGUGUUUUUUCACUGCAUGGGUUUGCUAUGCUACUUAUGCACACUGGGUACGUGUCACGGCACUUCUGUCCUGAGGGGAACAGCACCCAUCAGUGCUGUUUUUCUGGAGGCGACAAACCUAACCCUGAAAAGCAGCCACGCGAAGGAUGAGCAUAUGCAGCAGUGCCAUCUAAUGGUGAAACCCGUGCUCUACGGCUUUCAUGGGUUUGAAGAGGCUAAGCACUCGAGCAUACCACGUGCUGGCAGGACCUGUACCCAGCUGUGUGAAUUACUGCAGGCACAGAGAAAUAAAUUGAUUUAAAAAAGGAAAAAGCAUGGUCGUUGGCCUGGGCCGGUGUUCCUCUACCCAAAACUGCUCACCAGUGGAUAAUUUUGUGCAACAUAGUGCAACAGUGAUCACUGCGUAAAGACAAUUUUGAAAUUUGCCCUGCUACUAAUGUCACAGCAAGAAGUCAUACCUGGGCAGUGGUGGUCGUCCUCCACCCAGCUGCAGACGACACCAGCACUCCACAGUAAGGGGGGACAGGAAAAAGAUCUGGCUAAUUCCUCUAUCAUCAUCUGGCUGAAUAAUGUCCCGGCCCUGCAUCACCAGUGGUAGCAGCCACAGGGCAGCUGUGGCAUUGGUCACCUCACUGUGGAACACCCCAUUUCACUUGGAAUAGUAAUGGACUUCAAGGAGGUCCUCUGAAGCUGGCUACUCUUCACUCAGAGGCAAUGAAUGAGAUCCCCUUCAGAAGAGGAAAAAAAAGCCUGUUUUCAUAACCCUCAGUCAUUACUGGCAUGCUUAUAAAUAAUUUUGCUGAGGCGAUAGUGUGGAGAACAGACAAGGCACUGUUUACUCCAAAGGCCUGCUGAAGAGGGGAAGGUAUCACUGUUCACAGAUGGGGAGUGGGACCGGGCCUAGGCCGGGUAGUCUCUCCCUGCCCGUGGACACACGCCCCAGCUUGUGCAGGAUAUGAUAACAAUGCCUUUGUCACCACCUCCGCUAUUAUCUGCUACCAACCACUUGCGGCCUAAACUAAUGUCAAGAGCCUGACCCACACCAAAGCUGCCUCAUAAAUCAAGUGAAAAGGGGAAUUAAUAUCUACAACUACAUGCUAAUCAGGCAUGAGGACCCAUGAUGGGGGGCCUCCACUAUUUAGUUCUCUAAAUCUGAAGGGUGGAGACCUUUGUCACAAGUUUUCAUUAAUUUCUUUUCCCUUUCCUUUUGAAAACCCAGUCAGCGGGUUGAGCCCAGAGGAGUGUGUCAGAGUGACAUAGGUUCUGGCUAGUGAUAAGGAUGCCAAGAAACCUAAUCACAAUAGACAUGCGCCUUAGAAACAUAUAAAAUGUGACAAUAACAACAGCUCUUUGGAGCUCCCUCUCAGCUGGUCUGGGACCCCCCCUUAUAGCAUCCUGCACACUUGAGACCCUCGCCCGACAUGGAACAGGUCGUAUUACCCCUGCUUGCUCUUUUUCUAUCUAGUUCAGCCCUGCAUUGCCUACCAGCAGUGUUCUGGCUUAAGAAAAUUGGAUGAGAAGCUCUAGAGAUUCUGUACUUUAACCAGCUAAAACGGUAACAAAUGAAAGAUUUCAUGAUGCUUCCCUGUGUGAAGAAAGCGCAGUGAAAUUUUAUGAAGCUUCAGUCUGCCAGAAGCCAGUUUACAGAAGGAUCCAUGAGAUCUAUUGCCUGUGUUGAUAGUGGUGUAUUACAAUGUCAAUACUCUAUGUUUUUCACUUUGAAGACUGCCUGCAAGCUAUAACAAGCAAACAUGUUUAUAGCAUCACUGUGAAAAUCCUUUUGCUGUAACCCAGUCCUAUCUGCCGUAAGCUGCAAGAAAGGUGAGCAAAACACCAGCCUCUGCCAAUUUGGUGUAGCAAGAAAAAUGACUGUUUGGGGUCAGAAAAGUACUCUGCAACAUCAGAGAAGACACAGCUGAGGGGAAGGUCAGCCUGUGUGCAUAUCAUGAUUUUUCUUAAGACGACGGAUGUUUCUUCUCAAAAGACACCGUGGCCCUGUGUGUGAGAUCAACUUUGCUUUUGUUUGAGAGAAGAGCCUGCAAAGUUCCCUCCAAAGUGAAGAGCCCUUCAUGUGUACUUUCUCAUCUACCUCCAUCUGCUGCAUCUGUCCUAAGUCCAUCACAUCACCUGGCUGCCUCAUCUGAACAUUUCUAAUUCUGAGGAGACAUCCAGAAUUUGACAUGCGUCUCUACCCCAAUGCUUUCAUAGAGUCACAGAAAAGCUUAGGCUUGAAGGGACCCCUGGACUUCAUUUGGGCCAACCUUCUUUCGAAAGCAGGGCCCUAGGUUAGGUUACCCAGGGCCCUGUCUGAAGGACAUUCCACCACUUCUCUGGACAACCAGUUCCAAUGUUUGAUUGUUCUCACAGUGAAGAAUUUUGUUCUCAUGUCUAGACGGCAUACCCCCUGUAGCAACUUGUGCCCAUUGCCACUUGUGCAUCCUUGUGAAGAGAGUACCUCUCUUUACCUCUCUAUAACUACCUUUCAGGUGUUGGAAAAUUUUGAUUAGAUUCCUCUGGGGCCUUCUCUUCUCUAGGCUGAACAAAUCUAGCUCCUUCAUCCUUUCUUUAUGUGUUAAGUUCUCCAACACUCUAAUCAUUUUGGUGAUUAUCAUCCACUGGGCCCUCUCCAGUUUUUCAAUGUCUCUCCUGAGCUGGGGGAAACCAAAACCGGAUGAAGUAUUCCAAGUCUGACCUGACAGGUGCCAAGGAGAGUGAAAUAAUCACAUCCCUUUAUCUGCUGGCUGUACUCUUGCUGAUACUGCUCAGCACACAGUUUGCCUUUUUUUGCUGCCAGGGCACACUGCUGGCUCAUGUUCUGCUUGCUGUCUGUCCAGACCCCAAGCACCUUUUCAGCAGAGCUGCUCCUUGGCCAGCCAGUCCCCGGCCUGGCCUGCUGCUUGGGAUUAUUCCAUCCCAGCUGCAGGACUUCACAUUUAUCUUCAUUACACUUCAAACAUUUAUCAUUUUAACCUCAUAUUAAACAGCAAUCUUGUUGGCUCAGUCUUUCAGCCUGCCUAGGUCUCUCUGUGUGGUGGCUCAUCCUUCCAGCCUAUCUGCCUCUUCCCCAAAUUUGAUGUCAUCCACAGACUUGGUGAGGGCAUUUGAUCCUGUCAUCCAGAUCAUUUGCAAAUAUGUUGAAAAGUAUUGGACCCAAUACUGAACUCUGAGGAAUACCACUUGUGACUGGCUGUCAAUUUGAUUUUGAGCCACGAAUUAACCAUCACACUUUGAGCUUAACAUUUCAGCCAGUUUUGACCCAUCUCAUUUUGAUCUAUCCUUUGGAUUUUGAAAGAGAUCAAUGGUGUCAGUAUAGAUCUAUGGAUAGCAAAGAGUCCAUCAUACAAGGCAGACUGAAAUUUCAUGUGGGAGAAGGAGACUACGAAAACUAAUGAAUUUAGGAGGAACACUUUGAAGUGCUGAGGAAGAGGAACAUAAUCUGAAUCAAGAAAAUGGAGGGUGAGGGAGGAGUCCUCAAAGUGAGAGUUGCGAGCAAUGUGCAUAUUUUGGUGUUGGAGGAGGAAGCUGGCAAUAGGAAGAAAAGGCUCAUCAGGUAUGAGGAGCUGGAUGGCAGUAGGUGGCUACGAUUUCCUUUGUAAUGGAGAGAAAUGCCUCUGAGGGGUGGCAAACACAGAAGGCAACCUGUGAGCAGACAGGAUGCAAAAAGAAAGGAAAAAGGAUGUUAGGAAAAGGACUGGGGAAGGUAAGGAAAGAAAUAAAUACUGAAGAGAGAAAUGAAGGAGUGUGAAAACUGAAAGUGAUAGGGUAGGCAAUAGUGAGAGUCACCAAAUGAAAAGAAUUGAUAAAAUGGAAAAAAAAAGCAUACCCAAGCUGUAAAUCUAUAGCGUAGUUUGAGUACUGUAUUGCUUUAGCACAGCAUAGCAAUAUCAGGCUAAUUCUUGGAGUUCAAAACAGUCCUAUAAAUCCAUAUAUCUUUCUUGAGAUCGUCUAAGAAAUGUUAGGAAUUUGUAUUUUUCUUGCUAUCUCUGAAGCUGUUUUUUGACACCCACAAUCAUUGUCACGUUCUGAUGACAGAUGGAGCAGCCUGCUGCGUAAAUGCACCUCUUCAUCGUUGGGACCUCUGUUACAGUCCUCCUGUGUCUCCCAUGCUGUAAUAAGUGCUAAAAUUUUCAGCUGGAGCCCACAGAACUGUUGGUAUAACAAAUAACAGGGUGUAAUAAUAGAUUUUUGGCUUAAUCUAGCUCCCACUGAAGUUAUUGCAAGAUUUGCCAUUGACGUCAAUGGGAAGAGAAUUGGGCCCAUGAUAGGAACUACAGUAGUAAUAACAAUACGUUUGACUUAUAUAGCUCUUUCUCGGGUUGCCAGAGGCCUUUGGACACUCCAUGUAAAUGAAUACAAAACAAUAAAAGAGAUUAAAAUGUCUCUGAUUCCUGCAGGAUUAGAACAGACAAACAGUGAAAAUCAAAGUAUGCCUAUAUAUGGGCUAUUUCUUAUGCAAUGGUUCUAACUGUGUCAUCACACAGUUUAUAGCAGGUCAUCAUGUGCUUCAUCUCCGUAAAGCUGUUACGGAUUGAUCCAUGAAACCACUGCCUGUUUAGAAUUUUCUUAGCAUGCAAAUAAGCACAAAAAUGGAUAUUGAUAAAAGAGAAUAUUUUUAGGCUUGCAAAUCAGCCAGAAUCAGUCAAAUUCUUGGCCCCUGCCAUGUGCUGCUGAGUAGUGUCAGAUGCUCACACAUACACAAAUUGACAUUUACAAGGCAUGUCGUGCUUAGAGCCAAGUUCAGAAAUAAAUCGCCUCUUUUGAUAGGUUCACCAGAGCCUCCUAAGUACACCAGAGCCUCCUAAGAUUCAUUUAUUGUUUGCUACUGGGGGGACUGGAAUGCUCCUGGACACAGAAUGAAAAUCCAUUCAGCACAGCAUAAGGGAAACUGCAUAAACUGAAGUACAAUAACUGUGAAGUUGCAGUUUCAUAGGGUGACAUAUUCAGCGUGCUGCAUGUGGAGGAUUAGGUGCUUGGCUGUCAUUAAUGGUAAUGUGGGCUGCCUAAUUACCUCCAUGUGCAUUCUGCUGAAACCCUACUCCAAUAAAUACCAAUGCCGCUUACCUGGGGAGCGUAGAGGAGACGGGAUCUGAUCCCUGGAGCUUUGCUCGUAAAGCAUACAGCCCUGAAAGGAUUUCCUUCAACUACACAGGGGUGAUUCUGACUUCCGAUGGAUCUCCCCCCAAAACACCUAGUGUUUCGGUGCAGCGGGAAGGUGCAGAUCCUAAUUUUGCCUCUUCCCUUCUCCAGAGCAAACCUGAGCUUAACUUCUGCAAGUCCCUGUAGACAAUCUAUAUGCAUUUAUACUACAAGCAAGAGGAUAGCCUCACCUGAUCAGAUUUAUCAAAUUGUUCAAAAAUCCAGCACGCUGUUCUUUAGGCUGAUAAGUACAGUUUAUGGAAUCUUAAGAGAAAUAUAUAGUUUACUUAGACAAUUGCACAUUUACUAUAUAAUAAUCACAUAUUACAAAUAUUAGAAACUGCAGCCACAAGCUUACUCCUCAGAGCCUGCAAAUGCUAUCAUAGCAUCUUCAUGAAGCUCUGAGAGUCAGUGUUUGCCAAAGUCGUAUUUACUAGGCUUUGUUCGCUUCCCCAGACAGUUUUGCCUCCUGGAGAAGUUACAGACACUGACUUUGCAGACAAUGCCAGAUCCCAGUAGCAUUGUCUUUUCACAGAUAAUUGUCAUAUGGGUCUGGAUGUUUAAAAAUGAUGAUCUCUCCCACAGGGUGCUGUAAUAUUUAUCAAGGGAGCAAGAGAAGAAAAAGCCUUACCGCAAACUGGCCUAGUUAGGCAAGAUGGGGUCUGCGGUGAGAGGUCCUUUUCUCUACUACAAUAGCUGAAAACAUUGUAAGAAACAGCAGAAGCCUUUUUCAUAGUGUGAUGGGCUGAAGAAGAGCUUGUGUUUCUGCCAACUUGUCUAUUUUUUCAGACAUGAGGAAGGUCUUGAGUUGUUGUGGUGCUACUGCUAGCUAACUAGUAAUCUUGCUGCUGUGAUGGUCUCUGUAACUGAAUCCAAAGAAGAGCUAGGGUGCUUCGUAGCUUGGCUGUUUAUUCCAGUUUUAUCAGUUGGUCUAAUAAAAGAUACUACCUCACUCUAAAAACCUUGCUGUACUUAUAUCCAUGGUUCAUAGCAGCUUCAAUAGUGUUACUGGUAAGAAAGCAAGAGAGAAGUUAGGAUAUUAGAAUUUUUAUACAAGACAGCAGAAAUAGGACCUAAGUAAAUAAUCUGCUUAUAUAUUUCAGAAGUAUUUAUCCCAUUUUAAACUGAUCUGUGUGCUCCAAAACCUAGUAUGGAUGAAAACUGUGUGUGUGUGACCUGAUCUCUGCUUCAGAAAUGACAGUUCUAACAGCUGUGGCCAGGAUGGCUGGUCUGAUUUUAAGAAGUUUAGAGAUCUUAAUCCAUACUGGUUGGUUAAUGCCUCAAGAAUUUCUAGCAGUGAUGGUUAACAAUAAGCUGAUGUCGCUUACAGUUAUUUGAUACCUCUGGUUAUGGUGAGUUUUGAAGGCCUACAGGGAGGAUUUGUGUAAUUACAUACCUGAGUGCCAGCUGUCAUUUUCGGAAUGAAGUGGUCCUGAAAUUAAUUAUUAAUUACAUUGUCACAGCUCAUAAUUAUUUUAUGUGAUUGUUACCAGCCAUGAAGUGUGUUGACUUGACAGACUGGAAGACUGAGUACUUCCCAUCUAUGCAGGCGUCUGUAUUGCAAACACAGCCUGCUGCCUAGCAAUAAAGGCAGGCAAAUCUCUAAGUCUUUAGAUAAUGCUUAUAUUUUAAGGGUCUAUUAUCAAGACAAGUGGGAAAUAAGAAACUGAAUUAGCUUGUCUUCAUCCCUCCAUUAUACUUGUUUAUAAAGGCAGUGGGUAAACAAAUGCCUAGCUGUGAAGGUCUCAGAUGCAGUACUCUGUCUCGCUUGAGAUGACCAUGGAAAGUCUAGGGGCAGGGCUGGGAGAGCUUACCCAGCAAGGAAACCCUCCUGGCCCUGCAACCCUUCCCACCUGCUCUUAUAUAACCUGCUUUUAAAUAUUUCUCCCCUUUCGAGGCCUGAAGGUAGAAUCACCUUGUGAAAAAAAAGAAGGGAAUGGGUUGACAGAGCAUCUGUCCCACCCUUUGUCUUUUCUGCAAAAGAAUUUUAGACAUUUUAGAGACAGAGGCUGUUGGGAGUUUGUCUGAAGUGCUGAGAAGCCUAGAGGUGAAAUGGCUUGAGAACAGUGCGUCAGGGAGGACAGGAACAGCCUGAAGCUCAAAGAUAUUUACUCUUGCCUAUUGGUGCGCUAGUAAUUGUAACCAAAUAGUUCCCAGUCCAUUUUUAUUAGCAGGCUUUAUGUGUUUAGGGAUAAAUGUUAAACUCUACAAUUUGGUGUGAAUGUCAGCUGUUGAUGAAAAGCAGAUCCCAGCUGGGACAGCGAGGACAUUGCAUUCAGGCUGUGUCUGAAGUACAUGAGCAGAGCUGUGUGGGAGAGAUUCAGUUGAAUCUAUUGCUCAAAUCCUGCUCCGGCUGCUUCUCCCCUGCCACUUCAGCCAAAGUCAUUUGAUCUGCUUGGGCAUUGUGGCCCCAUUCUGCCCUCAGAAAUACCUCUCUUAAGGCAGGUUUUUUUCUCCCCUGCCUUCCCUUUUCACCUUUAUUUCAACCCACAGCAUUUUCUACUUUAUCUUCUUCGCCCCUUGUCCUUGAAGAGAUCUACUGGACUUGACAUCUGCAACCUGAUGUAAUGAUGACUUGGACUAAGCCUACACAGUGAAAUGGAGGGUGGUAGGAAGAUCUCAGAGCUCAUAUGGAGCCCAUGUGAUGGCAGCUGGCACUCUGCAGAGCUGCUAGCUCAAAGCCCAAAGCAGCGUAGCUGGACGAGCAUGGUGCAGCCCUUGAGCUCAUCAGCCCUGCAAGGCAGCACGUGCACUGCAGGGUUUGGUGGCUUUUUGUGCAGCUGCCUUGGUUGCUUGGGUGCCCACUGAGCCAGCUACCAUGGCACAGCGCGGAUGUGCCCACAGUUCUCCCUGUACACACUUUUUUAUCCAGCCUUCCUCUUGGAGAUCUUUUCUUGCCCCUUCCGCCCCAGUCCCCUAUCUCCUCUCUCUCUUUGCUUACAGGAUAAAAAAGAGAAAAGAACAUAUGUUUUUGGCAGUCAGGAUGGAUUAAAACUGAGGGUUGUGACCUCUUAAGACUGGAGAAGUAAAGGUUUGUCAGGUCUUCCGAUUUUAUUUGGGCAAAACUGUACUCAUAUUCUGUACUCUAUUCUUCUUCAAGCAGUUACUGCUGGUCACUAGAUACUGCUGUAAGGUGACCUGUCACCUGCCCUAAAGGGGCAAUUCUUGUGUUUCAUAAACUUUGACCCUGAAAUUAAAAAAAGAAGAAAAAUAACAAGGACUCACUUUUACUAGUACUCUUUAGAAUUUCAUGAGUGCUGAGCCAGUUUUACAGUUUUUACUGCAUUAGACACGUUCUUUUUUGUGAGUGGCUUUAAAUGCAGCUCCAUCAUUUGACUGAGACUUAAAAAUGUGACAUGGCUAACAAGUACAUGCAAAACCAGAACCUGGAAUGAGAGUUAGCUUAUAUAUAAAUUGCAUCCUUGAAACUUCUGAUAUACUGGGAGAGCCACAUAUUGUUCUGCAGAAAAAAGGAGUUAUAUCUUACCAUGCCGUAAUAACUCACAAGUUAAUUCCCACCACGUGCAUGUUUAAAUGUUCUGCACAAACCACAAGAUGUCAGUGUGGCUACAUGAAAAUUUAAUCAGUUCUGCACACAGAUUGAUUCAGUAUGAUUUUUAACUCUAAUAUCUCUGGUAAUAUAAUCUCUUUAUUUACUUCCAGAAUUUGUCCUGCGCUUUUCCCCUCAUAAUUAUAAAUCUCCUUUCUCUUUGCAGUGUCUCCUUCACACAAGGCAGAUAAAAAACAAUGUUAGGGAGUAUAAUUUAUCCCUUUUUAAAAUGAUUUUUAAUAUUGCUGUGCCCUUGAUCUUUAUGUUUUGGCUACCAUUUUGCUAUGCUAAGACUUGCAAUGAUACACACUGUCAGCAGAGAUCAGUUGUAGUACUACAAACCAUUUUCUUGAAGCAAUUUGUGCAGUAAGCCCACUAUCUACUAGACAAGUCAUGGACUACUUUCUUUCCCUGUUCCCUUAUUUGAUACCUGUGGUACAGUUUAAAUUUCUACAUGCAAUCCCUGAGACUUUUCUCCAACAAUUAAUGUAUAUCUUCAGUUGCCAUUGGUAUCUGGGGCACUGCAAAUGCUCAGUUAAUGGUGCCCAACCUUAUCUGCUAUGCAGCUAGAGCCCAGUUUUGGAAUCUUUCCUGCUGAUUUCAUUGAUGUGACGGUUUUUUCUGGCCACAUGCAUGUGUGAGACAUAUCUCUAGGUCAGCCCCUGCCUUGUAAGAGACUGCUGGGGCUGGUACCAGCCAACACCGACCAAGUUACUAUCUCCAAACUGCAUCAAUAAGACUAUAGCUGCAAGUGUCUGGAAGGCUGUGUCUGGCCCACAGGGUGCUAGUGAGACUAUGCCGAAUCUUGCAGAAGAUGGUUAUCACCCUGAAUGAGCAUCCUGAGAUUAUGGGUCUUUUCAGACUCAUUUUUUAUUUCAGAUCAAAGCCUACCAAAGCCAUACAUUACACCAGCACUACUGAAGCAAUUGGCUUUGAAUAGUUGUAGAGGAGGGAUUAGUGCCAAAAAACAUGAGUUCCUAAGACAGCAUGUGGGUACAUUUUAAAUACCAAGAAGCCAGACAGAGGCAGGGCAGGACAUCUGUGUUGCCCACCGGCUUGGUGCUGCCAGUGCUGUGUUAGAGCCACUCACUUUCUCCGGGGCAAAGUGUGCGCUUCUGCCAUGCUGAAUAUCUGCUGACUGAUGUGUCACUGCCUAGUGACAAUGUGUGCAAACCCAGUGUCAAGCCUCCCCUCAGUCACUCAGCUUCUAGCAGGUCUGAUUUACACCUGAGUUACACCAGGUCUUAGACGGAGUAUAAUAAAUGGUAUAGCUGAACUGCUGUGUUCAAGGUCAGACUUGAUGUUCUGAGGUGCCUGAUUUGCUCUUUGACAGCAAGUGAAUAUUCUGGAUUUAUCUUAUCACUAUAAAAUGGUCUAUUCUUUACAAACAAUGUUUUCAUCCAUAUUUUAUCUUCUUAAUCCAGGACCUUUUUCCCUAACUGGGGAAAGACAAUUUUGAUUAUACUAUAGCAUUCCUUGUCUAUCAGUGACUCUGUCCCUGCAAACACCAUGCUAAUUCUCUGCUUUACAGUCAUCAACAAAGAUAAAUUAGUUCCAAGAAGAGCUGAAGGGAUCAGUCGUGUGAACUUGGUACUGCAGCUUACUAAAUUACUGCAUGUCAGAGGAGAUGUGGUGCCUGGCCAGGAGGUAUCGCCCGGAGCACGCUGGGGUUAAGCUCACUUGUUCUAACAACCCGUGGGGUUACGUGUUUUCCUUUGCAGACUGGGGGAAGCUUCGUGGAGGAUCAUGGUCAGUUAUGGCUGCUGACUGGUAAUACGCGGUAGCUUGUUACACCACUGGACUUUGUUACCUUCAGCCUGUACCUCAUAUUAACACAAUAGCACAAUGCCCUUUUAGCUGGUCUGCUUCUGCAGCCUGCAACAGGAUAUAGAUAGAGAUAGGUAUCUCCACUGUAAGACCAUAUUAUAUUUUUAUAAUAUGUUUUUAAAGUCCAGGCACCUUUGCAUAUAAGAAAAGGUGGUCAUAUUUCUCUGGCUAUAGAUAUUAGGCAAUAUGUUCUUUAAAGCAUCAAAUUUAAUGCAGUAACUAUAAUGACACAAAUUGAAAAUAUUUUCAACAUGUAGCACAGACAUUCUGUGCAAUUCCUAAAGCACUUUCUUUUAUCAGUAUAUUAACAACUUUCUGGGAUAUCAGAUAGGUUGCACUUUGGGUCUGACAUUCAACUUCCAUUAGCAAAGACCACAGAAAAGUGAGAUAAAAUAGAAAAGGAAAUCAGCUGGAAAGAGAAGAAAUGUUCUAAUGUAAAAGAGGAGUAUUUUGACUUUUUAAAUACGAUAAUAUUUGUGGAAAAAAACCAUCUGUCUAAUGUCAGCAGGGAUCAUGCCAUUGCUAGGGUGGCUAUACAGCAGCCUUUAAUAUCUGAAAGCUGUAGAUGGCAGUAAAGGACUGCAAAUAGUUGUUUGGUGGCUAGAUGUGCAACUUGAUUCAUCUUAGAAAUUGGUCUCAUUUUUGAUUCAGUUUGCUGUUUUGUAGCUGUGGAAGAUACUGAAUUUACUAUUAUUAUUUACAAUGAAACUUUACACUGUUAUUAUCAAGGCUUGCUGGUGUGUUCACUCUGCUGACUGGAUUGCAGUUAAUUUGUCCUCAAGUGGCAGUCUUCCUUCUAAGCCUAUUCCAGCACGUAUAAUGAAUGGUAACAGCUGAUAAUAAUGAUGUAGUCUAGUAGCAGAUGUAAAAAGAAAUGUUCAUUUUUUUUAAUUAGCCCUUUGCAAUAUCACUGAUCCAUAGAUUUAUGUGUCUGAUGAUUUUUCUCUCUGUUGUUGUAAGGCUUUACUUGAACCAUUGCUUUACUUGAACAUGUUGGGAGAUUUUUCAAAGAACAGAGGGCAGCUACGUACCCAGGUUCUGGCAAUUAUCUGAAAACCUUCUGAGAUGUCGCUUAGCUAUGCUGAGGCUAAAUCAUGUCUUACAAGACUGACUGGAAACAAGUCUAGGCCCUGGCCUUGCAGCCAUGUGGUUUAGUAGUCUGACUUGAGACACUGCGUAGGAUUAGUCACAUGCAAAAAGUAUUUGUAGAACUGAUGCUUAUGAUGGAAUACAAAACCCAGAAAGACCUACUUCCAAAUAAUAAAAUAAGAUGCAUAACAUUUUU